rnacentral:tRNA from 1 species
GGGCCCUUAGCUCAAUGGUCAGAGCAGUCGGCUCAUAACCGAUGGGUUGCCGGUUCGAAUCCGGCAGGGCCCA